rnacentral:lncRNA from 1 species
CCUCGAUGUUGUUCACGUCGUGCAUAGUGGUCUCCUCGCACUCAUCUAUCUCCAUGUCUGUCAGCUUGGACGUAGGCUUUGGUGGAAGAACCGCCUCAAGAGCCUUGCACUGCUCUGGCGCCAGCGAGUCAGGGAACUCCACAGUGAAGUGAAUGUAGAGCUUGCCCUUCAUGAAAGGCCUCUGGUACAUUGGCAUCCCCUCAUCGUUUAUCGCCUUGAAUUGGUCUGCUCAGAUUUAUCAACCAAAGAUCACCAACAAAUAAAGCUGCAAAAGUACAAGGUGCCACUUAAGAUACGCAGAUAUACGAGGCCUUACCAGGCUUAACAACUUCACCAGGGUUUGACUUGAUGAGAAGCUGCCUGUUGUCCAGAUGUGUAAGAACGAAUUGGAACCCACAGAGAGCCUCAGUCAGAGACAAUGUGUGCUCAUAAAAAAGGUCAUCACCCUUUCUCUUGAACUUGGAGUGAUCCUUCUGCUGGAGGACGAAUACAAUGUCUCCAGUGGUAGUAUCAGGCUGCAAGCAAAGGUAGCAUACUAUAUAAUUCUGAAAUCAUCAAAAGCAUGUUCGACAUUUUAUCAUGCUGAUUGUUGAACAAACCAUACCGCUUCAUCAGCUUCACCGGGGAAGGUGAUCUUCUGGCCGUGUUGCAUCCCCUUCUCAACAUGAACUUCCAGAACCUUCUUCUCCUGAACAACCUUCUCACCCUUGCACCCUGGGCAGCGAUCCUUCUC